rnacentral:rRNA from 1 species
AAUUAUAUAGAUAUCUGCUCAUGAAAAUUAAAUAGCCGCAUUGUGCUAAGGUAGCAUAAUCAUUUGUCUUUUAAUUAAAGACUAGAACAAAAGAUUUAACAUUUAAAUAAAUUUCUUUAAUUAAUCAAUUUAAAUUAUUUUUAAUAUAAAAAAAUAUUAAUAAAUAAAAUAGACGAUAAGACCCUAUUGAACUUUACUUUAGUUAAACUGGGGUAGUUAAUUAAUAAAUAUUUUAAUUAUUAAUAUUUUAUAAAUGAUCUAAUAUAAUUAAUUAUAUGAUCAAGUUACCAUAGGGAUAACAGUGUAAUAUUCUUUUAAAGUUCUUAUUUAAAAUAAUGAUUGCAACCUCGAUGUUGACUUAAUAACCUAAAUAACGCAAUAGUUAUUAAAGGAAGUCUGUUCGACUUUUAAAUAAUU